AAGCUACUAAAGAGAAUAAAGAGAAUAUAAAUGGAGAACUUAAGGCCUUGAAACCUUUGAAAGUUUUUGUUGGUUUGAACAAUGAAAGCUUACAUGCCACUUAGAUUAAUGGGGAGGCCAAGCUUACAACAAAUGAAUCAGUUAUAGAAUUAUGAGAUGAAGUAUGUUAAAUCAGCCACGUAUCAGAAAAGAAACAUAUAGCUAAGGGGAUAUCAAAUGGGGUUUCUAAUAGAUGCUAGCUUUAGUUGUUUAGUGUGUAUAAAGUUUUAUCAUGAUACAUACAUCCAAUUCUUUAUGUUUGUUCAUUUUUAGGAUACCCCUUUAAG
rnacentral:lncRNA from 1 species